GUCCAGUGAUUUAUAUCCAUGGGAAACACAAGACGCAUCAUCAAACGUUUGGGUAAACGAGUGGUGCAGGUAAGCUACGAGUUAGAAGAGAAGGUUGAGAAACAACGCAAUGGUCGCAAGCUACACUCUAAUUCAGGGACUGCAAAUGUGAACGCGUCAGGUAAUACCUACCUAUGUAUAUUGCUCUGAAGUUCUGCAUCAUGAUAUACUAAUGUGGUCCAAGUAUUGGUCUGGUUUGAUAGUGUUUUAUCCUUCUUUUGAUAUUUUUAGAAUUUACUGUCUGAUAGAUUCCUCUAGAAAACAAAAGCGCGGGUUCACGCGUCUUCCGGGUGUAUGGAAUCUUCCUCCUGGGAAACGCACCAGGGUUCUGUUAGGGAAGAAAAUGCAGCCUAUUGGAGUUGAAGGAGGUUUGCUCGGGAGUUUCUCGGGACCAUUGCUAGAAAUGGCGAGUUGGCACCAUUGUUCACAACUUGGAAGCAAAUUACUGAAGAUAUGAGACAUGCUAUGAUUCGGAUUGUAGAGUCCAAAUUUGAUUAUCCUCGUAUACCAGCUAUGGAAAAAUGGAUUCUACAUUCCAUAAACUCUAAAUGGAGAAAUUGGAAAAGCAAUCUAAAAGCUGCUCACUACGAUAGCUCUCAGCCAUUAUCACAUCAUCUGAAGCAUCUUCCGGAAAGGGUGAGAAGAGAUCAAUGGAAAAAGCUUGUCGCUUUUUGGAGUUCAAAGGAAGGGAAGAAGCUGAGCAACAUAAAUAAGGCUAAUAGAGCAAAACAGAAGAUACGGCACACCUUAGGGAAAAAAAGUUUUGCAAGGAUAACAGCAGAAAAGGUUUAUCUAGCUUGCAAGGUCCACCAUCAUCAUUCACGAAUGAUCUAUACAGCGGCUAGAGCUGUAAAGUAAACUUGAGAUUAUGAAACCUGUACAGAUUUCUAUAACUUAAACCAUCAUACAUGCGUGCACACUUACCACAAUGGUUGCAAAACCAUUCAAUAUAGUUCAUCUAAUAUCGACCAAUGUUAUGCAGUCUUGGCAAUGACAAUAUUGCUACUACGAUGCACAGAAUUUAUACAGUUAUAUGAGCAGAAGCCGAACGGAUCAAGAAUAGAGAGCGAGCUGGAAUGAAUAGUCUAAAAUUAAAACCCAAAAAGGCUAAUUUCCUAGUGUGUGUUUUCAUAUGGUUUCGGUGGAUGACAAGUCAUAUGACAAUCACCAAGGAAAAAUCAUAGAAAGGAAGGACGUGAUUAUUUUUUCAAUUUGAUAUCUUUGGACUUCUUUUCCUGUUUCACUGGACAUUGGGAAAUAAUGAAUGCCUUUUUGAUAUGGUUCGUUCAAUUAUGCUGACUAACCAAGCUCUGUCACAUGAUACAUCGAAUUCAAUGAAUUGCCUCUGUUAAUAGGAAGCAGAGUUAGGAAGGGAGCUAAAUCGUGUUGAUUUGUUCAUACUUAGUCACGAAAGAAAGAAGGGCAAGAAGCCGGUGGAUAAGGCUGUUGCAGAGGCUAUUGGAAGUAUGAAUGACCUCGCAGAGGUAUAUCCAGAACUUUGCAAGAGCGAUACCCCCUUAAAUGAAGAUGUUGUUUCUCUGGUGUUGGGAAAAGAGAAACCUGGACGCAUCCGAUGCUACGGCAUAGGGCCAUGCCCAAAAGACUUCAGGGCCUCCAACUCUAGUUGUCAUCCAAAGGAGAAGUUAAGGUCUGAGAAUGGAAAAGAUGAAGAGAUUCACAAGUUAAAGGAAGAAUUGAAAGCAGCAAAAGAGCAAUUGAAAACCACAAAUGGAGAUGUACAAGAGUUACAGGCCCAACUGAAAAAGAUGUCCAACAGAGUAGAGAAAUUGUCAGCAUACUGCAGACUUUAAGUGGUCUCACAAGAUCUGGACAUGGUCAGCAAUUCAUGAGACAUGGUAUGCAGCUAAUUUCAUUUAAUUCAACAUAGUGAAAGGUGUUUUAUUGACUAAAUAUUGAGUCACCUGGAUAUUGGGGACUAAGGUGGAUUAAAAGGGAAUAUUGGUGGAUAGGCUUGAAACAUGAGUUUGGUAUCCGGAUUGCUUUGAUGAAGAGCUUGAAAGAGAGGUAGAAAUGUAGCGUUAUGUAACCAUGUUUUUCCUUUUAGCUGUGAUUACAUCAUGUUUUGGGUUUGCUUCUAUUGCGUUAUGCCUUGCUCUUUUCAGUCUUUUUGAAGAAUACAAGUGAUUGCCCUUAUUAAUCACUGCUGUGUUGUUUCUCUUUCUUUCAGUGUUUCGAGAUAGGAACUAUUGAGCUGUCCUGUUCUUCUCUGUAUUGAUC